rnacentral:rRNA from 1 species
AGUCACUGACAUUAGAUACCCGCGUAGUCCCAGCCGUAAACUAUGCGCGUUAGGUGUACUGGUGACCACGAGUCACCGGGGUGCCGAAGGGAAAUCGUGAAACGCACCACCUGGGAAGUACGGUCGCAAGGCUGAAACUUAAAGGAAUUGGCGGGGGAGCACCGCAACGGGAGGAGCGUGCGGUUUAAUUGGAUUCAACACCGUAAAACUCACCAGGGAAGACUGUUACAUGAAAGCCGAGUUGAAGACUCUGCUAGAUUUUCAG